rnacentral:tRNA from 1 species
GGAGCUGUAGCUCAGUGGUAGAGCGCCCGCCUCACAUGUGUGAGGUACUGGGUUCGAUCCUCAGUACCA